rnacentral:lncRNA from 1 species
UCUCCAUGAUUUCAGGAUAAAACUGACGAUCCCAUGCGCUAAACAGCGAGUUUGUUGCAUACAAUCGUUUCCCAUCGAGGCUCAGCUGAAUCAUUUGAGGUCCACCUCGUAAAGAUUUCCCCUGACAUCACCAAAACAACUUCUAUAUUAUGCAAAAAAAAUGUGAAACUUAAUUAAAUCCUCAAAUGAUUACACGUUGGUGCAAACCUUGAUCUGAGGAACCUCGAAUUGGAAAGUGUUUCCGUCUUCUCCAACCGCCUUAACAGGACUGCCCUUUUGUAGUAAUCCUCCAACCCAAAUUUGCCCUGUUAAUACAGG